rnacentral:lncRNA from 1 species
UCCUUUGGUGUUUUUGCAUCUUUGAUGUGCUACAUGAGUUCCUUCUGGAUCAAAACUUUCAAUACAUACAAUGUCUUACUCGCUCAGAUGUGCAAAGGCUUCUUCAUUUGCAACUUUCGUUGAUACUACCACAGUGUCGCCACCAUUCACCGUCUCCCAGAGAUCUUGCCCUUACAAAUACAGGAUCGCCAAUCAAUGUAAUUGUGGUUACCAAGUUUUUCGAACCCAGGACGCCUCUCUCUUUCUCUCUCUACAAUACCCGCACCGCCUGCGCU